AUUGAACGCUGGCGGCAGGCCUAACACAUGCAAGUCGAACGAGUGGCGGACGGGUGAGUAAUGUCUGGGAAACUGCCCGAUGGAGGGGGAUAACUACUGGAAACGGUAGCUAAUACCGCAUACCAUCGGAUGUGCCCAGAUGGGAUUAGCUUUUAGGUAAGGUAAUGGCUGACCUAGGCGACGAUCCCUAGCUGGUCUGAGAGGAUGACCAGCCACACUUGAACUGAGACACGUGCCAGACACCUACGGGAGGCAGCAGUGGGGAAUAUUGCACAAUUGUCGCAAGGCUGAUGCAGCCAUGCCGCGUGUAUGAAGAAGGCCUUCGUGUUGUAAAGUACUGUCAGCAGGGAGGCGUUACCCAAAGAAGAAGCACCGGCUAACUCCGUGCAAGCAGCCGCGGUAAUUC
rnacentral:rRNA from 1 species